UUGCCAAUGAUGGUUAUGAAUUUCUUCACCUGAAUAUACUAUGUGGUCAUGGUGUAUCUGAGGCAAA
ensembl:snoRNA SNORD36 Small nucleolar RNA SNORD36